ACACAAGCAUGCAAGUCCAUCAGCUUCUCGGCUUAUGGUGCCAGACCGACGUGCCUAGUAGCGUACUAUCUUAGCUUCAAGAGACCGACCAGGCAAGAUCCAUUGAUCGAUGGAGCUGCUUCCUCUGCUCACGUGGCUCCUCCUUGCGCACGCCCUGGCCUGCCUGGCCUGGACGGCCGCCGCGCGGCGCCGGCAGUCUCGGUGCUACCUCCUGGACUACGUCUGCCACAAGCCCAGCGACGACCGCAAGCUGUCCACGGAGACGGCCGGCAACGUGAUCCAGCGCAACGCGCGGCUGGGGCUCACCGACUACCGCUUCCUCCUCCGCGUCAUCGUCCGCUCCGGCAUCGGCGAGGAGACCUACGCCCCGCGCAACAUCCUGGAGGGCCGCGAGGACUCGCCCACCCUGGAGGACGCGGUGGACGAGAUGGACGCCUUCUUCGACGAGGCCAUCGCCGAGCUCUUCGCCCGGACCGGCCUCGCGCCCCGCGACGUGGACGUGCUCGUCUUCAACGUCUCCAUGCUCUCCCCGGCGCCGUCGCUGUCGUCCAGGAUCGUGCGCCGCUACGGCCUGCGCGAGGACGUGGCGGCGUACAACCUCACGGGCAUGGGGUGCAGCGCGGGCCUGAUCGCGCUGGACCUGGCCCGGAACGCGCUCCGGACGCGUCCCCGGGCGCUGGCGCUGGUGGUGUCGUCCGAGUCCAUCGCGCCCAACUGGUACUCCGGCACCGACAAGACUAUGAUGCUGGCCAACUGCCUGUUCCGCAGCGGCGGCUCCGCGGUGCUGGUGACCAACGACCCGGCGCGGCGCGGGCAGGCCAAGAUGGAGCUCAGCUGCCUGGUGCGCGCCAACAUCGGCGCCAGCGACGACGCGCACGCGUGCGCGCUGCAGCGCGAGGACGGCGAGGGCCGCGUCGGGAUCAGCCUGAGCAAGGCGCUCCCCAAGGCCGCCGUGCGCGCCUUCGCCGUCAACCUGCGCCGCCUCGCGCCGCGCGUGCUCCCCGUGGGCGAGCUCGCGCGGUUCGCCGCGCGUCUCCUCGCCCGGAGGCUCUUCACGACGUCCCCGCACCUGCGUCAGCAGCACCUAUCGGGCGGCAAGCAGAAGGGCGACGCGGCGGCGGCCCCAAAGAUCAACUUCAAGGCCGGGGUGGACCACUUCUGCCUCCACCCCGGCGGCACGGCCGUCAUCGAGGCGGUGAAGAAGAGCCUGGACCUGGAGGACGAGGACGUGGAGCCGGCGCGGAUGACGCUGCACCGGUGGGGGAACACGUCGGCGAGCAGCCUGUGGUACGUGCUGUCGUACAUGGAGGUGACCGGCGACAUGGCCGACAAGGGGGCGUGGGCCGACUGCAUCGACGCCUACCCGCCGGAGAAGCUCGCCAACCCGUACUUGGACAAGUUCGGUUGGAUCAACGAUGUCGACGGCGAUACCCUGAUGCUCUAACGGUACGGUAUACGAUCGAGGACCGCUCUCCACCGGCGGAAAUGACGACAACGGCGGAAGCAGUAAAAAGCAGGCUAGCUGUUGUUCAGAACGACAGGCCGGUGAUGCUAGCUUGCAGCCUGCGUAGGUGUAUUUAUGCCCUUGGUUUUACUGGGCCUGUCGUUCUGAACAAUAUAGCCCUAUUUAUUUACCACCCAAUUAUAUAUGUGUAGCCUGAUGCAGCAGUAGCACAAUAUAUUCUUCUUCUUCUUCUGAAUUGUUUUCUAUAGCAAAAGGAAAAAACAUAUAUAGCUUUUUUAGAACAGAAGAUCGAUCGGAUCUCCAUGUAUACAGAAACGAUUGCAAGAACAAACAAUAUAAUAUCAAGUGUACUUUUACCCGCCUGAACUCUGAGGAAGAAGAUACUACCACUUUCAUAGC
rnacentral:misc_RNA from 1 species